UCUCUAUGGGAGGAUGCGCAUUAUUGUUGCAAAACUGGGCAUGGUAUCGUUUGUCUUGUGUCGCUCCUGAAUCUCCCAAACCAUGGAUAUUUCCACUUGCACAAAGGUUUAAUUCUGGUGGUCUAAAUUUUGCUAAAGUUCCUCAUAACGACGUAGAAGGAUAUCGAAAAACAAUUGAUCACAUGAUGGUUGAGGAAUUUUAUUGGAGACCUUAUCUCGGGU